rnacentral:snRNA from 1 species
GUACAAGAAUACAUGCUAACUAUCGAUAGUAUUGAAACGAUACAGAGAAGGUUCGUUCGAACGUUAUCGGCACAACUGUCAACAUACUAACCAAUUCAUCAGAUUAGCAUGGCCCCUGCACUAAGGAUGACACGCUCAAUCAAAGAGAAGCUACCAAUUUUU